rnacentral:lncRNA from 1 species
GUGAGAGAGAAAACAUGCGCAUGCGCCGCGCCAGAUAGCCCGCGUCGCGAGUUGCAGUUCCUGAAUUGGAUUACCGCAUUGGAUUACGACUGGAAACAUUGGAUUGUAGAUUUACAGACAUUGCAUUGUAGAUUUGACAAAUCUCGAAUCGGAGUGGUCGUCCCGGAACCGAGUAGUGUUUUUGGAUUUUUACUGUGCUACAUGUACAUGCUUCAUCCGGCGAUGCAGUAUUAAAUAAAUGUGAGAUAUUUUAAAAACGCAAGAAAAUAAAAAAAAAUCGAGAUUACAUUAAAGCGAAAACUAUAUUUCAAUGCGUGCGUGCUUAAGAUUCAUGUAAAUUUAUUAAUUUAUUGAUUGCGAUUUUUCUCUCCCCCGGGAAGAACUUGGUCUCGUGUGAGUGAGAUUGUAAAUAAGUGUACAUUUUAAAAGGCUUAGUUAUUUUCUCAUAAAAAAUAUGUCUCGUGGGCCCUUGAUGAUAUGCUCAAAAAUUUAGUUACCAGUUAUAUUGAAGUGCGCGAUUUUUUGUAGUUUUUUCUGUUUUUGUCACGAUUGUGAAAAAUCUGCGUGCAAGUGUAUGUGCUUUCUUAAAACAGAGAGAAACUGAACACGAUGAAGUACCUUUUUACGGUUUUGGCGCUGUCUUCAGUUCUGGCCAUAGCCUCGUCGCUGGGCUCGGAAGACGCCGACGCAAAACCGAAAAAAGGCGAUAAAUUCUCGGCACAAAGACGCCUGAGUCGCAAUGGAGCCCUGAGCCCGCAGAAGAGGCUAGCACGACAGCAGAAUCCUACGUCGACGCCGGCGGUACCAUCGUACGCGGUGCCCAUGGAGCCUCUGGUACAGUACUCGCAACGGGAUCCCCUGUACCACGACAAGGAUGAUGAACCCAUCGUAGAGAGCUUCACUACACCCGGCUACGAGCAGAAGUCGCGGAUAGACCAUCUCGUCGCGGAGCCGAGCAAUCACAUCACUGAUAUCUCUGGAGCAGGUUACGUGGAGCGUGGCGGGUACAACGGUCCCUUCCUGGACCAUCCGGCCCCCGUCUACGGCGUGCCAACCUACUACAAAGAACCGGAGCCGAUAAUCGAGAUAAUCAUCAAAGAAUCGAACGAAUCCCUACCGGCCCCCCCCACACCUCCCACUCCACCACCGACCCCACCCACCAAGGAGCCCGUCCAGGUCUUCUACGUCAAGUACAAGAAGAACCCAAACAGCCACGGUAAAGAGGAUGACGUCAUCUACGACCCACCUAUCCCAGCCCUAAGUCCCCACACCCACGACAUCGUCGAACCCUCCCACCAGCCGGCGCCUCCCGUCCCCACUUACGGCGCGCCCCCCGCGACGGUGGCCCCGCCCCCUAGCACCACCAUCAAAGCUAUCAUCAGGCCAGAUUCGGAGACGUACCACGGGACCUCCGGGUUGCGGAUUUCCUUCGGGAAACCCGACGAGACCGGCCACGACUUCGCGUCGUACCAUCGGGCGGCCAUCGCCGACGGCCCGAUUGAAGCCCAAAAGCGCGAUUCCAUCAGCGAACAGAGCGAGCCACACUUCAGCCAAGUCUCCAGUUCGAGCCCCGUGGAUUUGACUGAAAAAACCGAGUGUCGCUAUAGUCACGCCUCAUGCUCACAAGCGGCAGCAAACCGAGUUUCAGCCUCAACCCACUCCGGAAGUCAAGUUUACGCGGCAGGAGCCUUUCAUUCCCUCGCAACCCCACAUUGA